UAGCAUAUUAGUAGGCGGUGGAAGAUAAUCCAAAAGGGAUUCCUUCAGUAAUGGCGAAUGAACGGGGAAAAGCUCAGCAAAGAAAUCGAGGACUCCGGCCUUGAGUUGUGGACUUGAGAGGUAUCGCCAAUGGUGGCACAGGUGGGGGCCUCUUGGAAAAGGGCACCACAGAGGGUGUGAGUCCUGUUUGCCAUCUGUAGUCCGCUGUGUACGGCAUGCCUCCUCCGAGUCACGUUCCUUGGAAUUGGAGCGCGAAGGUGGUGGUGGCUUUCAUCUCAAGCUAAGUAUGGGUUCGAGACCGAUAGCAAACAAGUACCAUGAGGGAAAAUUGAAAAGAGCUUUGGAAAGAGAGUUAAAAGUGCCCGAACUUGCUGAUAGGGAAGCGAAGGGAGCUGACGUUGCUUGGUAACAUCUUCCGCGCAGGACUAGGAUGGGUUCUGAUUGCAAUGUGUGUUGUGUUUCUUGCCAUGCGUGUCAAUGCCAAGUAAUGAGUGGGGAGAGCUCCAGGGAUAAUGAUUGUUUCUGUCCCCGGGUAGACGAAUAUGUCUGGGUGCAUCCAUUUGUGGGCUGAAAAAUUGGUGGUUGGUUGCAGCUCCCUGCCUACGAGGCAAUUGGGGUGUAGCCCUGACACGCAGACGAGGACAAAGUGCUUCUGUUCGACCCGUCUG
rnacentral:rRNA from 1 species